GCCUUUGUAGCUCAGUGGUAGAGCGUUUCACUCGUACCUUUCGCUCUUGCGUAAUGAAAAGGUCUUAGGUUCGAUCCCUAACUGAGGCA
rnacentral:tRNA from 1 species